rnacentral:tRNA from 1 species
ACUGUGGCUCAGUGGAAGAGCUUCUGCCUUACAUGCAGAAGGUCUCCGGUUCAAUCCCUGAUAUCUCCA